rnacentral:rRNA from 1 species
CCUGACGGAGCAACGCCGCGUGAGUGAUGACGGCCUUCGGGUUGUAAAACUCUGUGAUCCGGGACGAAAAGGCAGAGUGCGAAGAACAAACUGCAUUGACGGUACCGGAAAAGCAAGCCACGGCUAACUACGUGCCAGCAGCCGCGGUAAUACGUAGGUGGCAAGCGUUGUCCGGAAUUAUUGGGCGUAAAGCGCGCGCAGGCGGCUUCCCAAGUCCCUCUUAAAAGUGCGGGGCUUAACCCCGUGAUGGGAAGGAAACUGGGAAGCUGGAGUAUCGGAGAGGAAAGUGGAAUUCCUAGUGUAGCGGUGAAAUGCGUAGAGAUUAGGAAGAACACCGGUGGCGAAGGCGACUUUCUGGACGAAAACUGACGCUGAGGCGCGAAAGCGUGGGGAGCAAACAGGAUUAGAUACCCUGGUAGUCCACGCCGUAAACGAUGGAUACUAGGUGUAGGAGGUAUCGACCCCUCCUGUGCCGGAGUUAACGCAAUAAGUAUUCCGCCUGGGAAGUACGAUCGCAAGAUUAAAACUCAAAGGAAUUGACGGGGGGCCCGCACAAGCGGUGGAGUAUGUGGUUUAAUUCGACGCAACGCGAAGAACCU